UGGGGAAUAUUGCACAAUGGGCGGAAGCCUGAUGCAGCGACGCCGCGUGGGGGAUGAAGGCCUUCGGGUUGUAAACUCCUUUCGACAGGGACGAAGCGUAAGUGACGGUACCUGUAUAAGAAGCACCGGCUAACUAUGUGCCAGCAGCCGCGGUAAUACGUAGGGUGCGAGCGUUGUCCGGAAUUACUGGGCGUAAAGAGCUCGUAGGUGGUUUGUCGCGUCGUCUGUGAAAUUCCGGGGCUUAACUCCGGGCGUGCAGGCGAUACGGGCUGACUUGAGUGCUGUAGGGGAGACUGGAAUUCCUGGUGUAGCGGUGAAAUGCGCAGAUAUCAGGAGGAACACCGAUGGCGAAGGCAGGUCUCUGGGCAGUAACUGACGCUGAGGAGCGAAAGCAUGGGUAGCGAACAGGAUUAGAUACCCUGGUAGUCCAUGCCGUAAACGGUGGGCGCUAGGUGUAGGGGGCUUCCACGUCUUCUGUGCCGUAGCUAACGCAUUAAGCGCCCCGCCUGGGGAGUACGGCCGCAAGGCUA
rnacentral:rRNA from 1 species